rnacentral:rRNA from 1 species
UACAGAGGGGGCAAGCGUUGUUCGGAAUUACUGGGCGUAAAGGGCGCGUAGGCGGCCGGCUAAGUCGAACGUGAAAUCCCCGGGCUCAACCCGGGAACUGCGUCCGAUACUGGUCGGCUUGAAUUCGGGAGAGGGAUGCGGAAUUCCAGGUGUAGCGGUGAAAUGCGUAGAUAUCUGGAGGAACACCGGUGGCGAAGGCGGCAUCCUGGACCGACAUUGACGCUGAGGAGCGAAAGCCAGGGGAGCAAACGGG